rnacentral:tRNA from 1 species
AUCAAAUUAGCAAAAUUAAUGCAAUUGGUUUAGGACCAAUAGAUAUAGAUGAAAUUUCUUUAUUGAUACCA